rnacentral:misc_RNA from 1 species
CUUUUGUUCCUAGCUAGUAACAUGGUCGCGGUAUCAUGGCGCCUAAUCAACGUCAACGACAGCUUACCUUGUCGAAGAAAGAAUUAAAAAAGCUUAAUGGAAGGAGAUUUUCAAAGCCAGAGGAAUCCUCUGAUGUGGGACUCGUUUAUCCCGGCUAUGACACAGCUUUCAAAUUGCUGCUCUCUGCAAGAUUUUGCUCUGCUGUGUGGAGUCACAUAACAGAUUGUGAUGAAACGUAUAAUUAUUGGGAGCCGAGUCAUUACUUGCUCUAUGGAACAGGCCAACAAACAUGGGAAUACAGUCCCGAGUAUGCGUUACGUUCAUACAUGUACCUGUUAAUUCACAUGGUACCAGCGAAGAUUUAUCACUACUUGUUGGAACCAAAUCCUGUGCUAGUCUUCUAUUUUGUGCGAUGCUUCCUGUCUGUGGGUUGUGCAUUAUCUGAAGUAUACUUUUACAAAAGUGUUUGCCGCGAAUUCGGAAUCCACGUGGCGAGGCUCACGUUGGCCUUUCUUAUCCUCAGUUCUGGAAUGUACAUAUCCAGCGCUGCAUUUUUACCAUCGUCUUUUUCGAUGUACUUCAGCACUGUUGCCACAGCAGCGUGGUACACUCGCCGAUACGAGCUGGCCGUCUUUACUACUGCCAUUUCUUCGUUACUCGGAUGGCCAUUCGCUGCGCUGCUAGGCAUUCCCAUUGCUGCCGAGAUGUUGAUGCACAAGCAGGAAUGGAGCAGAUUUAUAAAGUGGGUUCUCAUAUCUGGCCUUGUAAUUGCGAUACCAAUGGUGUGGGUGGAUUCUAUGUACUUCGGCAAGCUAGUCGUCGCGCCAUUGAACAUCAUACUGUACAACGUCUUCACCAAUCAUGGACCUAACAUCUACGGCACCGAACCGUUCGUUUAUUACAUCGUCAAUGGAUUUUUGAAUUUUAACUUCGUUUUUCUUGGUGCACUAUUCGCACCCUUGGGCUUGUUUUUAGUGUGGUUGAUCGUGCCGGCACGUCCAAGAGACAGCUCAUGUCUGCCGUAUUGGUACUCGUUGGCUCCUUUGUAUUUAUGGUUUCUCGUAUUCUUCCUUCAGCCACACAAGGAGGAACGGUUCUUGUUUCCAGUAUAUCCUAUGAUUUGUUUGGCAGGCGCUAUAGCGGUGGAUACCGUACAAAAGUUGUACUUUUAUGUUAGAACGAAACUCAAUCCGUCGCACAUCGGUUGCCACUAUUUACAGUACACCGCACACAUCACUAUUUCGGCGAUGGUGAUAUGCGGCCUUCUCGGAUUGUCGAGAUCGUUGGCAAUAUACAAAGGAUAUUACGCCCCCAUGGAAGUCAUGAUAGAAGCGAACAAGCUUGGAACGGAGGGCGAAGUGCCUAGCGACGUCAGCGUUAAUUUCUGUAUUGGCAAAGAGUGGCAUCGCUUUCCCAGUAGCUUUUUCCUCCCGUCCAAUAACUGGAAGUUGCAAUACCUGAAAUCUGAGUUCAAGGGACAAUUACCGCAGCCUUUCUUAGAUCAUGAAAACGCAACGAGCGUAAUCCAAGCACACUUCAAUGAUCUUAAUAAGGAAGAAACGUCGCGUUAUUUUAAUUUAGACAAGUGCCACUUUCUACUAGAUCUGGAUGUAGGAACUGAAACAGCCUUGGAACCGAAUUAUUCUCGCCUCGGUGAUCACUUUACUAUCCUGAAAUCUUCCGGAUUUCUUAACGCAUCGAAAUCACAUCCGCUCUUCAGAGCUUUCUACAUUCCGUUUGUAUCCCACAAGUUUUGUACAUACGGUUCGUACAACUUAUUACAAAGUAAUAAGUUGAAAUUCCUGAUUCUGUCCUCGAAACAGAAAAGCUCGAAAUUUUCUUAAGCAAUAGAAUAUCGAAUCAACGAGAUCAUGCAGUUUAUUUUGCAUUUGAGAGGAUCUAGACAUUGUAAACUACAAAAAGAUUCCUGAAGUAUGUUUAACGUUAUCUUAACGAAGCUAGAAGUUCCUGACUUCUUUUUUUAUUAAUUUGUGAAAAGCAAAGAAAACAAUUCUAUUUUCUAUGAAAGUUAUAAUGCUGCAAAGAAUAAUCAUUAAUAUUUCAUGAUAUAUAAUUUAAAAUUCUAAAAAAUUAAAUUAUAUUGUGUAUGUAUUAAUAAGAUAAUCAGAUAUGUGAUGUCAAUGUAAAUAUUUUACCAUGUAUAUAUUAUAUUAAAAAUAAUAAUAAUAGUUAUAAAGAAAAA